rnacentral:ncRNA from 1 species
ACAAUGGAGAGUUUGAUCCUGGCUCAGGAUGAACGCUAGCGGCAGGCCUAAUACAUGCAAGUCGAACGGAUCAGGUUCUUUCGGGAACCUGGUUAGUGGCGCACGGGUGCGUAACGCGUAUGCAACCUACCUUCCACAGGGGGAUAGCCCCGGGAAACCGGGAUUAAUACCGCAUGACACCAUGAAUCGGCAUCGGUUUAUGGUCAAAGUUUCGGCGGUGGAAGAUGGGCAUGCGUGCCAUUAGCUAGUUGGCGGGGUAGAGGCCCACCAAGGCUACGAUGGCUAGGGGUUCUGAGAGGAUGGUCCCCCACACUGGUACUGAGACACGGACCA